rnacentral:rRNA from 1 species
UACGGAGGGUGCGAGCGUUUAAUCGGAUUUACUGGGCGUAAAGGGCGCGUAGGCGGCGUGACAAGUCACUUGUGAAAUCUCCGGGCUUAACUCGGAACGGUCAAGUGAUACUGUCGUGCUAGAGUACAGAAGGGGCAACUGGAAUUCUCGGUGUAGCGGUGAAAUGCGCAGAUAUCAGGAGGAACACCGGUGGCGAAGGCGGGUCUCUGGGCCGAUACUGACGCUGAGGAGCGAAAGCGUGGGGAGCAAACAGG